rnacentral:rRNA from 1 species
UACGAAGGGUGCAAGCGUUACUCGGAAUUACUGGGCGUAAAGCGUGAGUAGGUGGUUUCUUAAGUCUGCUGUGAAAGCCCCGGGCUCAACCUGGGAAUUGCAGUGGAUACUGGGGAGCUAGAGUGCGGUAGAGGGUAGUGGAAUUCCCGGUGUAGCGGUGAAAUGCGUAGAGAUCGGGAAGAACACCAGUGGCGAAGGUGGCUACCUGGACCAGCACUGACACUGAGUCACGAAAGCGUGGGGAGCAAACAGG